rnacentral:tRNA from 1 species
GCCCCCGUAGCUCAGUGGAUAGAGCAACGGUUUCCUAAACCGCAGGUCGCAGGUUCGAGUCCUGCCGGGGGCGCCA